CAGGUUUGGUGUAUUUGUGGAACAGGACAAUCACGUCCUCACCUUCUCCUCAGAGCCUCCUCGUCAGCUUUGCUUCCUUGAAAACCAAGAUGAGCCAUACUCCAGUUGAACAGUCCGUGAUGGACUUGAUCGUCCUGUUCCACAAAUACACCAAACCUGAUGACAAGAUUGACAAGCGGGGCCUGCUGAAGAUGCUGAGGGAGAAUUUCCCUAACUUCCUCAAGGCUUGUG